rnacentral:rRNA from 1 species
GGUGAGUAACACGUAUGCAACCUGGCCGUCACAGGUGGAUAACCGGAAGAAAUUCCGACUAAUACAGCAUAACACUCCUGAGGGACAUCCUUCGGGAGUCAAAGGAGGUAACUCCGGUGACGGAUGGGCAUGCGGCGCAUUAGGUAGUUGGUAGGGUAACGGCCUACCAAGCCGACGAUGCGUAGGGGUUCUGAGAGGAAGGUCCCCCACAUUGGAACUGAGACACGGUCCAAACUCCUACGGGAGGCAGCAGUGAGGAAUAUUGGUCAAUGGCCGGAAGGCUGAGCCAGCCAAGUCGCGUGAGGGAAUGAGGCCCUAUGGGUCGUAAACCUCUUUUGUCAGGGAGCAAAGGCGUCCACGUGUGGACGAGAGGAGAGUACCUGAAGAAAAAGCAUCGGCUAACUCCGUGCCAGCAGCCGCGGUAAUACGGAGGAUGCGAGCGUUAUCCGGAUUUAUUGGGUUUAAAGGGUGCGUAGGCGGAGUGUCAAGUCAGCGGUAAAAUUUCGGGGCUCAACCCCGUCGUGCCGUUGAAACUGACACCCUUGAGUGAGUGAGAAGUAAGCGGAAUGCGUGGUGUAGCGGUGAAAUGCAUAGAUAUCACGCAGAACGCCGAUUGCGAAGGCAGCUUACCGGCGCUCAACUGACGCUGAGGCACGAAAGUGCGGGUAUCGAACAGGAUUAGAUACCCUGGUAGUCCGCACAGUAAACGAU